rnacentral:rRNA from 1 species
ACUCCUACGGGAGGCAGGCAGUAGGAAUUUUCCGCAAAUGGACGAAAGUCUGACGGAGCAAUGCCGCGUGAGUGAUGAAGGUUUUCGAAUCGUAAAGCUCUGUUGUAAGGGAAGAAUAGCAAGAAUAGGAAAUGAUUCUUGUCUGACGGUACCUUACCAGAAAGCCACGGCUAACUACGUGCCAGCAGCCGCGGUAAUACGUAGGUGGCAAGCGUUAUCCGGAAUUAUUGGGCGUAAAGCGCAUGUAGGCGGCUCUUUAAGUCUGAUGUGAAAGCCUGUGGCUCAACCACAGAAUUGCAUUGGAUACUGGAGAGCUAGAAUCUUGGAGAGGUAAGUGGAAUUUCAUGUGUAGCGGUGGAAUGCGUAGAUAUAUGAAGGAACACCAAUGGCGAAGGCAGCUUACUGGACAAGUAUUGACGCUGAGAUGCGAAAGUGUGGUAGCAAACAGGAUUAGAUACCCUGGUAGGCUCUG